CUGCUGCCUUUGGCAGCACACAUACUAAAAUUGGAACGAUACAGAGAAGAUUAGCAUGGCCCCUGUGCAAGGAUGACAUGCAAAUUCAUGAAGUGUUCCAUAUUUUU
ensembl:snRNA U6 U6 spliceosomal RNA